CUCGUUGAAGGCAGAGGCUGCCACAGAGUCCUCUGAGAGAGACCUCUCCACACUGCCGGUCUGCAUGGCCGUAAUGGAGGUGGUGCACGAAUGAUCAGGUUGAGACAAAAACAGCUGGGGUCCACCGUCUCCCUUUCCCCCUGACUCAUGGCUGGGCUGAACAAUGGGAUGCAAUCAGAGGUGCACCUAGGUAAUUUUGGAGCCUGGGCCUAAAGGCCUUUGGAGGCCCACCUCCCCUGCAAAUUAAACAUCAUCAUGCUCGGCUGGAUGACCACAACACCUGAGGAUAUUCUAAAGAGGAUUUGAGGGGGCCCCAAGGGCUGUGGAGGCCAUGGACUUCAGCCCGGAAGACCACGGGGGUCUUCUAAUGAGGUCAUCUGAUGUCAGCUAGAGGACAAUCCAAUCAGAAGAAGAAUGUGCUAAGGGGCUGAAUUAACAAUGAUGAACAAUAAAACAACUGCAAUUUCUCAA